rnacentral:rRNA from 1 species
AUUGAACGCUGGCGGCAUGCUUUACACAUGCAAGUCGGACGGCAGCACAGAGAAGCUUGCUUCUUGGGUGGCGAGUGGCGAACGGGUGAGUAACAUAUCGGAACGUACCGAGUAAUGGGGGAUAACUAAUCGAAAGAUUAGCUAAUACCGCAUAUUCUCUGAGGAGGAAAGCAGGGGACCUUCGGGCCUUGCGUUAUUCGAGCGGCCGAUAUCUGAUUAGCUAGUUGGUGGGGUAAAGGCCUACCAAGGCGACGAUCAGUAGCGGGUCUGAGAGGAUGAUCCGCCACACUGGGACUGAGACACGGCCCAGACUCCUACGGGAGGCAGCAGUGGGGAAUUUUGGACAAUGGGCGCAAGCCUGAUCCAGCCAUGCCGCGUGUCUGAAGAAGGCCUUCGGGUUGUAAAGGACUUUUGUCAGGGAAGAAAAGGCUGUUGCUAAUACCGACAGCUGAUGACGGUACC